ACAAGUUGAUCAUGAGAGGAAUUUCAUCAAAUCAAAACCAUCCAUUCAUUUUGGGAGAUGAGAUGUACAUUUCAUCAAUCCCUUAAAUCCAAUGGUUUUGAUCCAACAAAAGUCUAAUCAACCAUAACCAAUGCCCAAACAGAAAGUCAAACAUCACAAGACCAUAAAAAUGGCUCAAUAUAAAUUUCAAACAUUUAAAAAAUUAAAAAUACAUUUAAAAAUGAAUUAAAAUGUAUUUUU
rnacentral:lncRNA from 1 species